AAAGUACUCCCUCCGUCCAAAAAUUCUUGUCUUAGAUUUGUCUAGAUACGGAUGUAUCAAGUCACAUUUUAGUAUUAGAUACAUCCGUAUCUAGACAAAUCUAAGACAAGAAAUUUGGGACAGAGGGAGUAGUUG
rnacentral:pre_miRNA from 1 species